GGGAGCCGGAUGCGGUGAAAGUCGCACGUCCGGAUCUGAAGACGGGUCGACCGGGUGACCGGCGAUCUAGUUUAAC
rfam:Bathycoccus prasinos genomic : Chloroplast.